AUAAUAGAUUAAAAUAUUAAGCUUGGCAAAUGACUAUUACAUGUUAAUUUUUGCCUUGGAAGAAUGGUGAUUUUAGUCCCGAAUUGGCACAUUUUGAUUUUGAUUUUAAUUUAAUUCUAAAUACAAUUGUAAUAAAAUAGCUAAUAAAAUCAUUUAAAAAAGUAAAAUAAAUAUGUCUAAAAAUUUAAAUAAGACGUUUUUGUACUGCAAGUGCAAAAAUCAAUAAAUUGGCUGAAACCAGGGAGUACUUUUUUUAUGCUCUUCCAUUGACUUAUCUCCCUUGGGCAACGUGAUGGACUUUGCAGACAAAGUUUACAGCGAAGUUUGCAACUUUAAUAAUCUAGGAGGAGUAUUUGGGCUAUCCCAGCAUUAUGCAUCUACAUAUUAAAAACUAUUUAAGAUAUCUGAAUGCACUAAAGACCAAAUUAGCAUUUCCCAAAAGAAUAAUUACUGCCAAUGCAAGAAUCUGCCAAUCAUGACAAUAAUCAUAACUUAGUGAAUAAACAUGAUGAAAACUAUGGUGUAGAAUUUGCAACACUAGUCCUUGAUUUAUAUAAGACGAGGAGUGGUUUAUUUUCCUAUGGUUGUUAUAUCAUCUCGUCUUAGACAUGUUAGAAUAUGCUUGAAGUACAGGGACUUUUAUGGAAUUCAUUGACAUCAUAGUCAAGCAAGAUGUCAACAUCCUGUCCAACCGUCUUCCAGCAAAGCCAAUUUGAAAGCUGACCAAGGAUCUUCAUCAUUUUGUGACAGGGUUUAUACAGGACGAAUCAUUCCACUAGGAUCAGGACUAUUAUCAUGAAAAUAGAUGCAGGCAAUGCUGAUGAUUUUUGUGAAUGUGACAAUAGCCAGGUCAAACUAAAUACAUGUACAUGAUUUAAAGAACAAGAUACUGAUCUAGACUCACAGCUUACUGAACUUUUACAGCAGUCAACAUCAGAUUGGAAGACUGAUAAUGCUUCUGACAGAAACAGUUUCAACCAACCAAACAAGUAACAGACACUUUGCAUCUUUAAAACACUACUUACAUCUUCCAUGGGAUGAUGUUCCAAAAAAUAACAGUUCAUCAUUAAUGAAGAUUUUUAUGUUAUGGAUUUUCUUUUACAAGAAAGUUAAUGUACACUUGUUUUUAUAGUAAAACCUUGCUGUUCAAGUAUCAAAUUUAUUGAAAUUUGAAGAUUCAUAUGACUUGUUUUAAUUUUGUUAUUUCUCAGGAUGUCAUGUAGAGGUACAGUCACGGCAGUAAUCUAAACAGCUAUUCAAUUUCAUUCAAAUUUUUUUGAAAAUUUGGCACUAGUAAAUAUAAACUGAAGUAAUUUGUUUUUCGUUUAGUUAUGGGAUUUUUAUGGCCAGUAACAAAGUAGUCGGUGCCUUAAGUUUUACCCUUGUACUGAUAUUCCAAUUUUCCGUAAUUCCAUAAUUCAGUCAUUCCGAAGCAAACCAUUAUACGGUGUUUUUUUUCUAAACGCCAUAGAUAUUGGCCUGAUUUUGGUAUGUAAGUUGACUAUGAUGAGUUACAGAUCAAGUAUAAGUUUUGUUCCACUCCCAUCAUUUCUGUUGAAAUUACCCGCUAUGGACAAAUUGUUGAAAAUCACAGUUGUAUGCACUUUUUUUCUUAAAGCUUUCAGACAUUGGGCUGAUUUUUGGUAUGUGAGUUACAGAUCAAGUUUAAGUUUCGUCAUGCUACCAUAAUAUUUGCUGUAAAUUCAGGCUUUGGACUUGAAAAAUUUUGGAAAAAUCAAAGUUUUAUGGACCUUCUUCUAUUAAAAUGCUUUCAGAUAUUGGGCUGAUUUUUGGUAUGUGAGCUAACCAUGAUGAGUUACAUAUCAAGUUUAAGUUUCGUUCCGCUGUGUUAUUUUUUCCAGAAUUAAGGGUUUUAAACCUUGAAAAUUGUUCAAAAAUCACAUUUAUAUGGACAUUUUUCUAUAUGCCUCCAGAUUGAGAGCUGAUUUUUUAUAUGUGAGACAACCAUCAUGUUUGUAUCCACAUGUGUUAUUGAAAUUGCAGAUUUUCAAAUUUUUGAGACGUAGCCUUUCGUGUUGCUUUGACACAUCUAGUUUAAGAUACAUUUAUGAUUAUCAUUUUUGUAUUGACUACAUUACAGUAGAUGCAUUUAUGAUUUUCAUGUUUUUAUUGACCACAUUGCAGCAACAUAGAUAUAUAGGUACCUGGCAAAUAUUACCUUGUUAGCAUACUAGGCUCAAAGGGCCAUAAAAAAGUCCAUCUCUUAGUGUCUGUUAAAAUCAUCUCUAUAUUGCAACUGUUGACAGUUUUCUCUUUUAAACCAUUAUUUUAAAAACUUUAGAAGAAGUAUCAUACAUACAUAUAUAUAUAUAUAUAUAUAUAUUGUAAAAACUAUCAAAAUGUCAAGAUCGUUUACUACCCAAAAUUUUCUGAAAAAUUGGGAUGUAACAUCUAUCUAUCCCUGAAGUGUGUAAAUUUACAAAUUUUCAGAGUUUUCUGCUAAUAUCUGACAGCUAUAUCAAUAUGAUAUAAGAAAAUAUUGCAAAAGAGGUCAGAAAAACUUAUUUUUACAGUCUGAACUUAUUCUGAAUUGUUUUAAAUUUAUUGCUUUUGAAUUAUGUGUUUUUUAUCGUUUUGAGGUGCACAAUUUGUCAUUUCAAGCUAUUUCGGCUCCUGGGAGCCUCUAGAUUUGUAAUGAAUAAUUUGUAUUUGUUUAUGAUUUUUUUCUUAAUGUAUUAAAUGAAACAUUAAUUAUUCAUUUCAUUUUGUUGUUAUACUUAUUUAUAAAUCCAGAUCUUAUAAUAUGUCAGAUUUUAAAAAUUAGAUGGCAAAAUUGAGAAAAUUUGAAUAUGCCGGCUAUCCCAUUUUGUUGUGGCAUAUACUAGACACCAACAUUAUUUGCCGAGCUUAAUAUUUUUUUUGAUUGAGUAUAUAUAGUUAUACUUUGCAAGUAGAUAUGUUGUUUUACAAUAAUAAACGGGUCUUGGAGUAUUUUGGCUCUUAAAGAUGACCAAAAUCAGCCAUUUUGGACUUGAAGCU